GUAGGUGGCAAGCGUUGUCCGGAAUUAUUGGGCGUAAAGCGCGCGCAGGCGGCUUCUUAAGUCCAUCUUAAAAGUGCGGGGCUUAACCCCGUGAUGGGAUGGAAACUGAGAGGCUGGAGUAUCGGAGAGGAAACUGGAAUUCCUAGUGUAGCGGUGAAAUGCGUAGAUAUUAGGAGGAACACCAGUGGCGAAGGCGGAUUGCUGGACGAUAACUGACGGUGAGGCGCGAAAGUGUGGGGAGCAAACAGGAUUAGAUACCCUGGUAGUCCACACUGUUU
rnacentral:rRNA from 1 species